rnacentral:snRNA from 1 species
GCUUAUGGUUUAGGCCAAUGU